GGGUGCUUGAGGCUUUUUGCUUUGAGCAUGCGCGCUAGGCAGAAAGUCUCAAGCCCCGAGUUAUUUUUCAAUUAACCUGAUGGCUCUCGUAUGAACCAACAGCACAACAGUAGCCUCUUAACCGCAGAAAUGCAAUCGGAGGCUAAAAUG
rnacentral:antisense_RNA from 1 species